AGAAUACAGAUCUUCUCUAAACCCGCUCAAACCUCUAAACUGUGACAGCAGAUUCUAAUUUCACUAAACCAAGAGAACUAUAAAAGAGAUGAACACCAAAAGUCCAAAUAAAAAAAAAGUUGUAAAUAAUAUUCACAAUUUAUACAAUACCAUAAAAAGGAAGAAAUAUAUACAAAUGGGACUGAAAGAGAGCUGUACAAAUGAUUAACUAGUUCAUAACUCAUAAUGAGCAUUUGGACUUUGAAUUUU
rnacentral:lncRNA from 1 species